GCGUAUAUUAAAGUUGUUGCAGUUAAAAAGCUCGUAGUCGGAUUUCGGGGCGGGCCGAGCGGUCUGCCGAUGGGUAUGCACUGUUCGGCGCGUCCUUCUUUCCGGAGACUGCGCCUACUCUUAGCUGAGCGGGCGUGGGAGACGGAUCGUUUACUUUGAAAAAAUCAGAGUGUUUCAAGCAGGCAGCUCGCUCUUGCAUGGAUUAGCAUGGGAUAAUGAAAUAGGACUCUGGUGCUAUUUUGUUGGUUUCGAACACCGGAGUAAUGAUUAACAGGGACAGUCAGGGGCACUCGUAUUCCGUCGAGAGAGGUGAAAUUCUCAGACCAAUGGAAGACGAACCACUGCGAAAGCAUUUGCCAGGGAUGUUUUCACUGA
rnacentral:rRNA from 1 species